GGUAACAUGGCCGAGUUGGUCUAAGGCGCCGCACUCAAGUUGCGGUCUCGUAAGAGGCGUGAGUUCGAAUCUCACUGUUACCA
rfam:Basidiobolus meristosporus CBS 931.73 K493scaffold_371, whole genome shotgun sequence.